CCGGUAGCGCCAGCUAUCGGGGAGCCAACGUUGAAAUACCACCCUGAAUGUGCUUUAAUUCUAACCCUGACCCGUGAAUCCGGGCAGGGAACAGUGUCAGUUGGGCAGUUUGACUGGGGCGGUCUCCUCCAAAAAAGUAACGGAGGAGUCCAAAGGUACCCUCAGCCUGGUUGGCAAUCAGGCGCCGAGCGCAAAGGUAGAAGGGUGCUUAACUGCGAGACUUAUCAGUCGAGCAGAUACGAAAGUAGGGCUUAGUGAUCCGGUGAUUCCGUAUGGAAGGG
rnacentral:rRNA from 1 species